UACGUAGGGUGCGAGCGUUAAUCGGAAUUACUGGGCGUAAAGCGUGCGCAGGCGGUUCUCCAAGUCCGUUGUGAAAGCCCCGGGCUCAACCUGGGAAUGGCAGUGGAAACUAGGGGACUGGAAUCUGGCAGAGGGGGGUGGAAUGCCGCGUGUAGCAGUGAAAUGCGUAGAUAUCGGGAGGAACACCUGUGGCGAAAGCGGCGCACUGGACCAUAACUGACGCUGAUGCGCGAAAGCUAGGGGAGCAAACAGG
rnacentral:rRNA from 1 species